rnacentral:rRNA from 1 species
AUUGAACGCUGGCGGCGGGCCUAACACAUGCAAGUCGAGCGGAGAGGCGGAAGGGUGAGUACUGACUAGUAAUCUGCCUGGUAGUGGGGGAUAACGUCCGGAAACGGGCGCUAAUACCGCAUACUAUCAGAUGAGCCUCGGUCGGAUUAGCUAGUUGGUGGGGUAAAGGCCUACCAAGGCGACGAUCCGUAGCUGGUCUGAGAGGGUGAUCCGUCACACUGGAACUGAGAAACUGUCCAGACUCCUACGGGAGGCAGCAGUAGGGAAUAUUGGGCAAUGGACGAAAGUCUGACCGAGCAACGCCGCGUGUGUGAAGAAGGUCUUCGGGUGGUAAAAUUCUGUUAUUGGAGAAGCGGUACCUACAGAGAAAGCACCGGCUAACUACGUGCCAGCAGCCGCGGUAAUAC